rnacentral:misc_RNA from 1 species
UUUCCGUAGGUGAACCUGCGGAAGGAUCGUUAACGAGUUAGGGUCUUUUAGGCCCGACCUCCCAACCCUAUGUUUAUUGAACCUCUGUUGCUUCGGCGGACCCGUCUCACGGCCGCCGGAGGACCGCUGCGAGGCGUCCUCUGGCCAGCGUCCGCCGAUGGCCAACCCACUAAACUCUGAAUGAAUCGUGUCAUAUGUCUAAGUCUAUGAUUAAAUUAAAGCAAAACUUUCAACAACGGAUCUCUUGGUUCUG